rnacentral:miRNA from 1 species
AUUUUUGUUUGUUUGUGUAUGUGUAUACAAAUAUAUAUAUAUAUAUAUUUAUACACACACACACACACACACACACAGCCACACACACACCC